CAAAAUAAUACCCUCCAUUCAUUGCGCCAGUGAUUCUCCCUUCCCCCUUUUCUCCUCUCCUCAUUUCCUUCUCCUUCUCUUCUCUCCUCGUUUACUUCCAGUUCGAAGCAUCAACAAGCAGAGGCACAGCCACAGCGACAGCCAGACCUCAGAGAAACGCUCUUACUUUCAUCUCUCUCUCUCUCCGAUCUUUAGUCCCGUGUUUGGUUUAGAUGUAAGGCCUGAAGCUUUUCGAGAUGAAUCUUAACCAAGGAGGACUUGAAAAGUAUUUGGAGGUACCUGGCAGUGCUGCAGAUGCAGGACCACGGCCAACUUCGUUACUGGCCUUCAACUGUUGCAGCUGCUGUUGUCAUCCUGGCUUAUUUAGAAAGUAAUCGUGAUGUGACCCGCCAGCGAGUAAUAUAGGUAAUUGCCAGAUGGGAAGAAGAAUGCUCAACGAGAAAAAGGGAGAAUGCUCUCAUAUCCUUUUUAUUUUUUUUAUUAUUAAUAUAUUUUCUGUCGGUUUUAUCCGACAAAGAAUACUUUACUUAUUCAUUAUUAAUAUUUUCGGUUGGUUAUAGCCGACACAAUUUCUGUCGGUUAUAUGUAUUUUCUGUCGGUUUUAGAGUAUUUUCUAUCGGUUUUAUCCGAUAGAAAAUGCUUUUAUUUAUUCAUUAUUAAUAUAUUUUCUAUC